GCAGACAUAGCUCAAUUGGCUAGAGCGCCGCCUUGCCAUGGCGGAGGUUGUGGGUUCGAGUCCCAUUGUCUGCUCCA
rnacentral:tRNA from 2 species